GACGAACGCUGGCGGCGUGCUUAACACAUGCAAGUCGAACGGAAAGGCCCUGCUUUUGUGGGGUGCCCGAGUGGCGAACGGGUGAGUAACACGUGAGUAACCUGCCCUUGACUUUGGGAUAACUUCAGGGAACUGGGGCUAAUACCGGAUAGGAGCUCCUGCUGCAUGGUGGGGGUUGGAAAGUUUCGGCGGUUGGGGAUGGACUCGCGGCUUAUCAGCUUGUUGGUGGGGUAGUGGCUUACCAAGGCUUUGACGGGUAGCCGGCCUGAGAGGGUGACCGGCCACAUUGGGACUGAGAUACGGCCCAGACUCCUACGGGAGGCAGCAGUGGGGAAUAUUGCACAAUGGGCGGAAGCCUGAUGCAGCAACGCCGCGUGCGGGAUGACGGCCUUCGGGUUGUAAACCGCUUUCGCCUGUGACGAAGCGUGAGUGACGGUAAUGGGUAAAGAAGCACCGGCUAACUACGUGCCAGCAGCCGCGGUGAUACGUAGGGUGCGAGCGUUGUCCGGAUUUAUUGGGCGUAAAGGGCUCGUAGGUGGUUGAUCGCGUCGGAAGUGUAAUCUUGGGGCUUAACCCUGAGCGUGCUUUCGAUACGGGUUGACUUGAGGAAGGUAGGGGAGAAUGGAAUUCCUGGUGGAGCGGUGGAAUGCGCAGAUAUCAGGAGGAACACCAGUGGCGAAGGCGGUUCUCUGGGCCUUUCCUGACGCUGAGGAGCGAAAGCGUGGGGAGCGAACAGGCUUAGAUACCCUGGUAGUCCACGCUGUAAACGGUGGGUACUAGGUGUGGGGUCCAUUCCACGGGUUCCGUGCCGUAGCUAACGCUUUAAGUACCCCGCCUGGGGAGUACGGCCGCAAGGCUAAAACUCAAAGGAAUUGACGGGGCCCCGCACAAGCGGCGGAGCAUGCGGAUUAAUUCGAUGCAACGCGUAGAACCUUACCUGGGUUUGACAUGGAUCGGGAGUGCUCAGAGAUGGGUGUGCCUCUUUUGGGGUCGGUUCACAGGUGGUGCAUGGCUGUCGUCAGCUCGUGUCGUGAGAUGUUGGGUUAAGUCCCGCAACGAGCGCAACCCUUGUUCACUGUUGCCAGCACGUUAUGGUGGGGACUCAGUGGAGACCGCCGGGGUCAACUCGGAGGAAGGUGGGGAUGACGUCAAGUCAUCAUGCCCCUUAUGUCCAGGGCUUCACGCAUGCUACAAUGGCUGGUACAGAGAGUGGCGAGCCUGUGAGGGUGAGCGAAUCUCGGAAAGCCGGUCUCAGUUCGGAUUGGGGUCUGCAACUCGACCUCAUGAAGUCGGAGUCGCUAGUAAUCGCAGAUCAGCAACGCUGCGGUGAAUACGUUCCCGGGGCU
rnacentral:rRNA from 1 species